rnacentral:rRNA from 1 species
AACGAACGCUGGCGGCAUGCCUAACACAUGCAAGUCGAACGAAGUCUUCGGACUUAGUGGCGCACGGGUGCGUAACGCGUGGGAAUCUGCCCUUGGGUACGGAAUAACUCAGAGAAAUUUGUGCUAAUACCGUAUAAUGUCGUAAGACCAAAGAUUUAUCGCCCAAGGAUGAGCCCGCGUAAGAUUAGCUAGUUGGUAGGGUAAAAGCCUACCAAGGCGACGAUCUUUAGCUGGUCUGAGAGGAUGAUCAGCCACACUGGGACUGAGACACGGCCCAGACUCCUACGGGAGGCAGCAGCGGGGAAUAUUGGACAAUGGGCGAAAGCCUGAUCCAGCAAUGCCGCGUGAGUGAUGAAGGCCCUAGGGUUGUAAAGCUCUUUUACCCCGGGGAUGAUAAUGACAGUACCGGGAGAAUAAGCUCCGGCUAACUCCGUG